CAGUAGCCACGGUAAUACGAAGGGGGCUAGCGUUGUUCGGAAUCACUGGGCGUAAAGCGCACGUAGGCGGACUUUUAAGUCAGGGGUGAAAUCCCAAGGCUCAACCUUGGAACUGCCUUUGAUACUGGAAGUCUUGAGUUCGGGAGAGGUGAGUGGAACUGCGAGUGUAGAGGUGAAAUUCGUAGAUAUUCGCAAGAACACCAGUGGCGAAGGCGGCUCACUGGCCCGAUACUGACGCUGAGGUGCGAAAGCGUGGGGAGCAAACAGGAUUAGAUACCCCGGUAGUCCCUGUCUCUUAUAC
rnacentral:rRNA from 1 species